CCACUUCACCUUUAAAUAAAGGAACCACCACUUAAUACUGUUGUUAAUCAGAGUUGGUCAAGUCUAGUGUAUUACUUUGUUCUUGGUUGAGCGUUUGUUUUGGGGGUGGGCUGAGUUCCUUAUCCUAUUUGUUUUGUUUCAGUUGGGUCAUAAUUAAGUUUUACCACUUUUGCAUUUUAGUUUCUACUAUGUGAAUUAUAUGUCUUUAUAUCUUGUAUGAGCUUCAUGUUUUCCCUCCUUGUUAUGCUAGUUUUCAAAGGAGGUGCUGCCGGAUUUUUGCUGUAUAUUCUUUCUUUAUUACAUCUCUUGUGAUGAGUAAGUUUGGUGGGUGGGGUUUGUGGUAUUAUCCAUUGUGUGUGACCAGUGGGGUGUUACAGUUGGUAUCAAAGGCAUAGGCUGUAGGUCCUAGCAAGUGGAGUAGUAAUAAAUUGACACACUGCACAUGUAGGAUGGGAUUUCUGUCUUGCUAUUGAUAUGAUUAUGUUAUUGUCUGUGCUCGCUAUGACAUUAUCUGAAGAGAUGCUAUGCCUAUCUCAUUUACUUAUUAUUCUCAUCCCUGUGGCUGCAGCUAUGCCGCCUCGUAGGGCUCGGGGUAGUCUGCAAGCUCCUAGUGGGGACUCGAUGAGUCCGGCGGCAAUGUUAGCCGCGAUGCAGGCCAUGCAGCAGGAGUUGGCCCUUCUGAGGCAAGCCAUUCCUGUCGCCCCUGCGGGUGCCGCUCAGGGUGCUGGAGGUGGAGAAGUGCCCGGGGGAGCUGUCCCUGCGGGUGCUGUUCCGGGUGGCGGGGCCGAGGUGCCUCUUCCAGUAAGUGGUCUUUCUCUGAUGCAGUGGAUGGGCAUGAAGUUAGAUUCUUUUGAUGGCAGUGGUACUCCGGUCGAGGCGGCAGAUUGGUUGACUUAUGUGGAGGAUAAGAUGAAUGUCUUCGAGAUUGCAUAUGGAGAUUGGGUUCGCUUUGGCACUCAGCUGCUGAAGGGAGAGGCUCAAAUUUGGUGGAGAGGCGUGCAGGCAGCGCACUCCUCCUCACCAGGAGUCCUAUCUUGGGAUGUUUUCAUCAGGCAGUUUGAAAGGAGAUUCUACCCAGUCACCUUUCUAGAGAAAAUGAAGAUUGACUUGCAGUCCUACAAGCAGGAGAAGAAGUCUGUCACAGAGUAUGAGGUGGGCUUCAACAAGAUGGUCCGCUUUGUCCCUCAUGUGGCUUAUAAUGAGAUGGAGAAGGCGAGCCAGUUCCGUCAGGGUCUGAAGCCUUCUAUCAGGCAUGCACUGGGGGCCUUUCCGUUGGUGGACUUCCGUACCACGGUGGAGCAGGCUGGGUGUGGAGAUGCAACACCAGUAUACCAUGGAGUCACAGUAGUCUUUGGGUGUUGAUCAGCCUCGUAGCCAGGACGCGAGGAGGGGCAACACUGGAGGUCCAGCUCACAAGAGGAGCAAGUCUCAGCAUCAGCGCCACCAUCCUUACCGUGGCAAAUCUUCUGACUCGAGUACUUUGGGAGGAAGUACUCAGAGGUUUCGGGUCGUUCCUAAGCCCGGGCUGGGGCUGGUGUGUUUCCGCUGUGGAGAUGCGCAUCGCCGUGCAGAGUGCCAGUGGAGUGGCAGGUGUUCUAUCUGCAGUCAGGACCACAAGGAUGUGGUGUGUAGGAGGAAUCCCAAUGGGAAGCUCAGAUGGGAGCCGGUGACUUCCUUUUCUUCUCAGGGCACUAUCAACAUGAUGUCAAGUGCUGAGCAGCAGUUUUCAGUUCCUCUUCCUCCACGGCAGCUUUAUGUGCCUGGGACUUCUCAGUUCGUGCCGAUGCAGGGUUUUCCUCAGUAUCAGGCUGUGCCUACUCCUGCACCGUCUACCCCUGUGCUGUCUCAGUUUGGAGCUCCGCGCCAGCCUCAUCCGGUGGCUCAGUGGGGUUCUUCUAUUAAUUUCACUCCGGGAGCUUCCUCUUCUACGGGUAUUUUUGGAGCUUAUGUGCUACCCGCUACGGAUGGCAGGGAGCAAGGUGACGUGGUGACAGGUACGAUUUUAGUUGAUUCGUUUGCAGCCCAUGCUCUUUUUGACUCUGGCGCUAGCUAUUCGUUUGUUUCGGAGGAUUUUGUGUCGCGGGCUGGUCUUUCGGUGCAGAGGUUGGGUCACCCAAUUUUGGUUAGAUCUGCUAAUGGCUCCAUUAGUAGCUGUUCAGUUUGUUAGGGGUGUUCCGUCAUUCUUGCUGAUGAGGUUUUUUCGGCCAAUCUGGUGGUGAUUUCCUUGGGGGGCAUUCGAUGUUAUCUUGGGUAUGGAUUGGUUAUCCCAGUAUCGCGCAGUUAUAUCCUGCUUCUGGAAGACAGUGUUAUUGCAGGCGCCGUCGGGUAAGGAGGUGGUAUUCCUGGGAAGUUCCCCGAAGUUCACGUUAUCCUUGUUGGCGCAAUUGCUUCCUGAUCGCCGGUCAAGGAAGUCGGGGAUCUUUUUCUCCAUGGUGGUGGAGGGUGAGGCUGCCUUGCGGGUGCAGGACAUCCGGGUGGUGUGUGACUUUGCUGACGUGUUUCCAGCAGAGCUUCCUGGCAUUCCUCCGGAGCGCGAUGCAGCUUUUGAGAUUAAGCUGAUCCCGGGUACGCAGCCUAUUCAUAAGGCCCGUAUCGAAUGGCCCCAAAGGAGCAGAUUGAAUUAAAGCGGCAAUUGGAUGAUCUGCUGGCUAAGGGCUUCAUUAGGCCUAGCAGGUCUCCAUGGGCUUCCCCGGUAUUGUUUGUUGAGAAGAAGGAUAAAAGCAAGCGGCUGUGUGUGGAAUAUCGCGCUUUGAAUCAAGUGACAAUCAGGAAUAAAUAUCCGCUUCCCCGAAUUGAGGUCCUCUUUGAGCAGUUGAGGGGUGCCCAGGUGUUCUCCAAAAUUGAUUUGAACUCUGGUUAUCAUCAAUUGAGGAUUCGUGAGGAGGAUAUUGAGAAGACCGCCUUCUGCACCAGGUAUGGGCAUUAUGAGUUCAUAGUCAUGUCUUUUGGCUUAACUAAUGCCCCUGCUGCCUUUAUGGAAGCAAUGAAUAGGAUGUUGCAUGAAUUCCUGGAUGACUUUGUGGUCGUGUUCCUGGAUGAUAUUCUGAUUUAUUCAAAGACCGAGGCCGAGCAUGAGCAGCAUCUCCGCCUCGUUCUGGGUGCCCUAAGGAAGAAUCAAUUCUAUGGCAAGUUGAAGAAGUGUGCCUUUUGGCUAUCCGAAGUGGCUUUCCUAGGGCACAUGAUUAAUCAGCAGGGUAUUGCGGUUGAUCCCAAAAAUGUUGCGGCUGUGGUGGAGUGGAAGAGACCCUCUAGUGUCUCUGAAAUCCGAAGUAUCUUGGGGCUUGCUGGGUAUUAUUGGCGCUUCGUACCAAAUUUUUCCAGCAUUGCUAAGCCUUUGACUAGGCUCCUGGAGAAGGGUGUUCCCUGCGUCUGGUCCGGCGAUUGUGAGGUCAGUUAUCAGUCAUUGAAGAGCAAGUUGGUGGACGCCCCUAUCCUAGAUUUGCUUGAGAGCGGUAAGCAUUUCACGGUUUAUACGGAUGCUUCGCGUAUUGGUCUUGGCGGUGUGCUGAUGCAGGAAGGCAGAGUGAUUGCUUAUGGCUCAAGGCAGUUGAGGAAGCAUGAGGGGAAUUAUCUAACUCAUGAUCUGGAAUUGGCCGCGGUGGUUUUUGCUCUAAAGUCGUGGAGGCAUUGCCUUUAUGGCGAGGCUUGUGACAUUUUCACCGAUCACAAAAGUCUCAAGUAUAUUUUUACUCAGAAGGAGCUGAAUUUGCAGCAGCGUCGGUGGCUAGAAUUGAUUAAAGACUAUGAUUUGUCCAUUCAUUAUCACCCGGGGAAGUCUAAUGUGGUGGCGGAUGCCCUUAGCAGGUCCGGGAUUCCAAAGGUGGCCUUGCCAUUGAUCGCUGAUCUGGACCGUUUGGGGAUCGCUUUGUGUUAUGUCGGCACCGCUAGCGAGGAGACUCAGAUGCUUAUUCAAUCCUCUCUCAUGGAGAGGGUGCGUGCGGCUUAGCAGCAGGAUCGUCUUUUGCAGGAAGCUCGAAAGAGGGUUGGUGAUGGUAAACCGCGGGAGUUCACCAUUGAUGAGAAUGAUUGGGUUCGUUUCAGGGGCCAUCUUUGUGUGCCUCAGAAAUCAGAGGUGAAGCUGGAUAUCCUGCGAGAAGCUCAUAAAACGCCUUACACCGUCCAUCCUGGCGAAACCAAAAUGUACCGAGAUUUGAAGCAAAACUUCUGGUGGAAGCGGAUGAAGGUUGACAUUUCUAAGUAUGUGGCCGCCUGUGAAGUAUGUCAGCGCGUGAAGGCCGAACAUAAGCGACCUGCAGGUUUGCUGAAGCCAUUAGAAAUUCCAGAGUGGAAAUGGGAGCAUAUCACCAUGGAUUUUGUGGUGGGUCUACCUCGUUCCCCUCGUGGCAAGGAUGCUAUUUGGGUGGUAGUGGAUCGCUUGACUAAGUCUGCGCAUUUUAUUCCCCUGAAGACCACAAAUUCAACUUCAGAUUUGGUUCCCUUGUAUAUGAAGGAAGUAGUCAGGCUUCACGGGGUACCUAAGUCUAUUGUUUCUGAUCGAGACUCCAAAUUUGUAUCCAAAUUCUAGGAGAGUCUCCAUAGUGCAUUGGGCACCAAGCUUUCGCUUAGUGUCGCUUUUCACCCUCAGACGAAUGGUCAGUCAGAGUGAACAAUCCAAACCUUGGAAGAUAUGUUGCGUGCUUGUGUUCUAUCAUGGAAGGGUAGCUGGGAGGAUCAUCUUGCACUGGCAGAGUUUGCGUAUAACAACAGCUACCAAGCUAGCAUCAAGAUGGCACCAUUUGAGGCUUUGUAUGGCAGGCGGUGUAUCUCUCCUCUAUGCUGGGAGACUUUGGGAGAGAGAUCCCUGGUUGGUCCUGAUUGGGUUCAGCAAACUUCUGAAAAGCUUCGGGAAAUUCGUCAGAAUAUUUUGGUAGCUCAGAGUCGUCAGAAGAGUUAUGCCGAUGUGAGGAGGCGGGAUCUGGAAUUUGCUGUGGGUGACCAAGUCCUUCUCAGGGUAUCACCCACUAAGGGAGUUGUUCGGUUCGGUGUCUCUGGGAAGCUCAGCCCGAGAUACAUUGGACCGUUCACUAUCUUGGUCCGAGUUGGCAGCCUGGCUUAUCGCUUGCUACUGCCGGAUUCCAUGGCAGGGGUACACCCGGUUUUUCAUGUCUCUAUGUUGAGGAAGUUCUUGCGGGAUCCGGACCAUCAGAUUAAGAUGGAACCAAUUCGGUGCAGCAGGAUCUGACUCUGGAGUGUCGUCCGGUGUGUAUAUUGGAAUUCUCGGAGCGUGUGUUGAGUAUGUCAAGGUCUUAUGGACUAAUCAGUCUGAGCGCGAGGCUACGUGGGAACUUGAGGAGCUGAUGCGGCAGAAGUACCCAGAACUUUUCGUUGUCGGUAAGUGUUGUUGAUUCAUUAAUCUUUUCUUUUGUCAUUCCGAUAGAAGCGUCAGAAUUCGAGGUCGAAUUCUUUUUAAGAGGGGUAGAGUGUGAUACCCGGUUUGCAAAGAAGAGAAGUUAGGGGUUGUUUUUUUUGUUUUUUUCCCUCAUCCGGUUGUUGUUUUGGGGAUUUGGAAUUUUGUGGAAAACAUUCACAACUAGGGCAGUAGAAUUUAUUUGGUUUGACGCUUGCGUUGCGGUCGGGAGCUGUCGCGUGGGUUAGUUGGGCCACGAUUGGUGUUUCAGCCCAUUAAUCCUCCCAAACCCUAGCCGCCUCCCUCCUAACCCCCUCCCCCUUGUGCAGCCGCCCCCACUUCUCCCACUCCUUGGCCGCCGCCCCCCUGCCCAUCUCCUCCUCUCUCAAUUCUUGCAACCACACCACCAUACCCUAGCCGCCCCCCCAAUCUCCUCCUCCCAAGGUGCCAACCCUUGCCGCUCGGAUCAUCGUCACGUGGUGCCAUCAUUUGAACAUGUUCAUGUUUCAUGGAUUUCAUAUGUUGAGUUUGAGGUUUGAUUAUGUUACUCAAGUGGUUAUUAUGUGGAAUGGGUGGAAGUAAAUGUCUAGCACAUUUUUAUUUGGGAAGAACUCAUGAUGUUGUCAUGCAUAAUGCACUCAUCAUCCAUUGCAUUGAAGUUUCGUCGCGAUCUUAUGGUCCGACCGUACCGGUACAUUGAGCAUCAUAUGUUGCCCGAGAAGGGGUAUGGUGCAGCUUCAUAUCCUUAGAGAUAUGGAGGCAGAAGUCAUUAUUGCAUUUGUAGCCAUGUGCAUUCAUGGGAGAGGUGUGGAAACUAUUAUGUGGAUGUGGAUAAUUUGGACUUAUGCAUGGUGAUUCUACUUGGCGUUAAGUUUUUAGUUACUUGUUUGCUUGCUGCAAUUUACUGUUCAAAAGAAAAGAAAGAAGUUCUGAACCACGUGGUUGUGUAAGCACAGUUGAUUUACAAUGUCCGAUUUAUCGUUGUUAUGUUUACUUGCUGAGAUGUGUUAUCUCACAUCUUGCAUUGUUUGAUGCAGGCACCAAAUUUCUGCUUUUGGGAAUAUAGGGAUGUAGCAGCACGGCCACUUCACCUUUAAAUAAAGGAACCACCACUUAAUACUGUUGUUAAUCAGAGUUGGUCAAGUCUAGUGUAUUACUUUGUUCUUGGUUGAGCGUUUGUUUUGGGGUGGGCUGAGUUCCUUAUCCUAUUUGUUUUGUUUCAGUUGGGUCAUAAUUAAGUUUUACCACUUUUGCAUUUUAGUUUCUACUAUGUGAAUUAUAUGUCUUUAUAUCUUGUAUGAGCUUCAUGUUUUCCCUCCUUGUUAUGCUAGUUUUCAAAGGAGGUGCUGCCGGAUUUUUGCUGUAUAUUCUUUCUUUAUUACAUCUCUUGUG
rnacentral:lncRNA from 1 species